rnacentral:rRNA from 1 species
GUGCCAGCCGCGCGGUAAUACCGGCAGCCCGAGUGAUGGCCGAUCUUAUUGGGCCUAAAGCGUCCGUAGCUGGCCGCGCAAGUCCAUCGGAAAAUCCACCCGCCCAACGGGUGGGCGUCCGGUGGAAACUGUGUGGCUUGGGACCGGAAGGCGCGACGGGUACGUCCGGGGUAGGAGUGAAAUCCUGUAAUCCUGGACGGACCGCCGAUGGGGAAACCACCUCAGGAGAACGGAUCCGACAGUGAGGGACGAAAGCCAGGGUCUCGAACCGGAUUAGAAACCCUUGUAGUCC